AGUGGGUGCGGGUGCCGAGAACUGCUCCGAGUGGGGAGGUGACCUGAGGAAGUCCUCCCGCGAGGGGCUUUUGCCAGGGAGACUCGAGGGUGGCCGACUGGUUUAAAAAAAAAAACAACAGGUGAUCCGGUAGCCAGGACUUUGGACGAGAGAAUGGCCCCGGGAACUGCUCCUAAAAGUGAUCAGCCUAAGGGGAAAUGAGAAAUCCCACGACAGGCUUUCCUAUGGGCUGACCUGGCUUCUCCCUCUGACGGUUUACCUGCUAGGAGCAGAAGUAGGUGCAGGCUCGCCUGUGAGGAACGGGACUUUUCUGCCCAGACACGUGCCGUUUUACAAUUUUAGGAAAUUGAAGAAAUAGGUAUGAUGUUACAGUGUCAUCGACUCGACGGACAUGUGUUUGACCAAUUUCCAAGAGUUUUGGUAAUGGACGUGGAAGCCUGGCGCUCUGUAGUCCACGGGGUCACAGAGUCAGACACGACUGAGCGACUGAACUGAACUGAACAGG
ensembl:lncRNA